rnacentral:misc_RNA from 1 species
AAGUCGUAACAAGGUUUCCGUAGGUGAACCUGCGGAAGGAUCAUUACCAAUUCGAGUGGAGGGUGUUUGCAAAAACACCAGCCCAACCAACCUUUGAUUGUGAACACAGAGAAUUAAAAAUCAAGUCUCCCUUUGCAUUUGUGUGAGGGGAGCAAUUUUUAUUCAACCCCAAAAUACAAAAUCUGCACUUCUCGUGUGCGGAGAAAAAGCAAGCGUUGAGCUCCGAGCAAAAUGAAAAAUGCUAUGUACAACUUUUAACGGCGGAUCUCUUGGCUCGU